UUCGUUUUAAACAAAACCCUAGCCGACCUUUUCAUAUAUAACGCUCUGAGACAUCAUCUUCAACAUUCCUUUCGUUCGUUCUCUAUACGCUUUAAUCUGAGAUUUUCUUCGAUCAUUCAUCUCUAUUCAUCGUCCUCGUUAAUCCCUACGUGUUGGAAUCAAAAACGACUCGUCGACUGUUCGUACUUCAGAGGCGAACCAGAGUUAGAUUACUUGCCAGGUUUCACGUGGAAUAGCAAGCAGUGAGUUUAUAUCUCUAUUUACCUCUUUAUUAAGCAAAUAUUAUAUUUUGUAUAUGUAUAUGUAUAAACAGCUUUUGAACUGUUUUCCGGCAUUGUGGAUUUAAUUUGGAACGUGCUACUCGAUGGGCAUCAUCGGGACUGCGUGCGCACCGGUAAUGAUUAUGGCAUUGAGGUAGGUUCGAGAUACAUCUCACCUUAGUGAGGGCACCGGUGGAAGAUACGUCUCCUGGGCUCACUAUUUAUUAAGUGAUAGUCGGGGAUCGGUUUUUGAGAUACGUCUCACCGACACGACAAUGGAUUUAGAAUUGUGGUUUAGGGUUUCAUUGAUAAUCCACAAUGAACUAAUGUUUUAUUAAACGUUUUUAAGGUUUUCAACUUAAUAAAUGUAAAUGGUUAUAUAAACUCUACUCAGUAAAUCUGACCCCGUUGUUUUCCCAAAUUUUCCAGGUUUAUGAUUUGAGCAUUAGUCGAUCUCCGUUUCUUCAUUCCCGGAGGUUCUUUAUUUAUUUUCAGAUUAAAAGAGUCGAACUGUUUUAAACUCUUAGACCGCAGUAGUAGUAUUGGAUUAUUUAUGUUUUAGUCUUAUACUUAAUGUUUUAGACUAUUGUUUGUUGAUAUAGUUCAACUAUGAUUUAUCGCUUUAGCAUGAUUACAGUGUUUAUGGAAUUAUAUAUAUUGCCAUGCUGUUAGACAUUAUUUGCAAUAAGCGUAUUUCAAAUA